CAAGGAUGGAAGACAGAGGAGGAUAAGCAGGAAGAAACAUGAAGAACAGACAAGAUGCAGGACAGAAGAAGAUCAGGGACAAGCAGGAAGAAACAUGAAGAACAGACAAGGUAGAAGACAAAGGAAGACCAGAGAUAAGCAGGAAGAAACAUGAAGAGCAGACAAGAUGGAACACAGAA